AAAGUUAUAGUCUAAUUUAUGAUUUAUGAUUUGCACUCAUGAGAUGUUCCCUUGAACUAACUUUA
rnacentral:tRNA from 1 species